UACGGGGGGAGCAAGCGUUGUUCGGAUUUACUGGGCGUAAAGGGCGCGUAGGCGGUCGUGACAAGUCACUUGUGAAAUCUCCGGGCUUAACUCGGAACGGUCAAGUGAUACUGUCGGACUAGAGUACAGAAGGGGCAACUGGAAUUCUCGGUGUAGCGGUGGAAUGCGCAGAUAUCAGGAGGAACACCAGUGGCGAAAGCGACUUUCUGGUCCUUAACUGACGCUGAGGCGCGAAAGCAUGGGGAGCGAACGGG
rnacentral:rRNA from 1 species